ACGGGUGAGUAACGCGUGGGAAUCUACCGUGCCCUGCGGAAUAGCUCCGGGAAACUGGAAUUAAUACCGCAUACGCCCUACGGGGGAAAGAUUUAUCGGGGUAUGAUGAGCCCGCGUUGGAUUAGCUAGUUGGUGGGGUAAAGGCCUACCAAGGCGACGAUCCAUAGCUGGUCUGAGAGGAUGAUCAGCCACAUUGGGACUGAGACACGGCCCAAACUCCUACGGGAGGCAGCAGUGGGGAAUAUUGGACAAUGGGCGCAAGCCUGAUCCAGCCAUGCCGCGUGAGUGAUGAAGGCCUUAGGGUUGUAAAGCUCUUUCACCGGAGAAGAUAAUGACGGUAUCCGAAGAAGAAGCCCCGGCUAACUUCGUGCCAGCAGCCGCGGUAAUACGAAGGGGGCUAGCGUUGUUCGGAAUUACUGGGCGUAAAGCGCACGUAGGCGGAUAUUUAAGUCAGGGGUGAAAUCCCAGAGCUCAACUCUGGAACUGCCUUUGAUACUGGGUAUCUUGAGUAUGGAAGAGGUAAGUGGAAUUCCGAGUGUAGAGGUGAAAUUCGUAGA
rnacentral:rRNA from 1 species